UUCGUCGCGGCUUCCUGCAAGAACCGGAGUUUUUCACGUUGCCCUAUCAGUGGUGGUGAGUCGGGAAGUCGUCAGUCCGCAGCCGCGACGUUGAUGCGCCAGUGCCGUCCCACUAGGGCCUGCCCUUCGGCUAUCAAAAGAACGUAGUGUCUUUUCUAUUCCGUCGUUUUCAUUUCGCUCCUCACUCCCGCUUCCGCUCCAUUCCCCGCUAGCCAUGCCCCUUCAUUCCUUCGUCGUCCCGCAUCGUCAUUGCCACCACCCCUCAAUACUCCCUAUCUCACAAUCCCCCAACCACUCCCUUCCCUCGUUGCAACCGAUGUGGAGGGUCCCACCCCUUCCCACCGAUUUGCUCGCCACCUGCCCGCUCGCCCGCACGCGCGCACAAGAUCCAGACGCCACCACCACUCACCGAUGAGAUCUUUGUCCCCCGGUGCGAUGAGGCUAGGGUGGAAGCCAUGGAAGUGUCUUUCUAGGCCGGACUUCUCUCUCUCCCAUCCCUCUAGCUGUGAUGAGGGGAGUAGCACCACCAAGUCACUGAGGCACCCACCGGCCCCGAGCUCCUCUCCGUCACCGAUGACUCUGACCUCUAGCCGGCCAGCGAGUACCACUCCGCUCCUGAUCUCCCUCAAGCUAUUGACGACAUCAACCUCCCCAGGCCGCCGAGGAACCCACCAUGCCGCGCCACCCCAGUUCGUCGCUGCACCGCAUCGACGGGUCCAUACCAUCUUGCGAGAAGUCACUUCGUCUCCACAUAGAUUUGUGCCGAGGUGGAGCUGUCAGUAGGGAUGGCCUGCAACAGAGAAUGGUGGCCAGCGCGCACGUGUGAAGAGCCGCCACUACUGUCUGGAGUGCAAAGCAGCCAUCGUUGCUGUCUGGAGUGCAGAUCAUUCGCCAGUUACUUGGAGUGAAGAUCCGUCGCCGCACUCGGCAACUGCCGCUCCUCAACUGCAGCCGAGGUGGACGCAAUUCAUUGGACUAAAGCCGUUGUCUCAGCCAUCCAACAUUCGCAAGUACGGAUCUAAAUGCUCGACUUUGGUAUGUUGACACAUGAGACCACUAAUGACUCACGGGCUGAUUAUGGACGAAUGCAGCAAUUUGUGGGAGCUGAUUUGUUGAUUUUGCAAGUUGGAAGUGUCUGAUUCACUUGGUAGUCACAGUAGUUGCCGCAUUCGUGUAUGGUUAGAUCUGGGGUUAGUGCUUGAGUUUGAGGUGGAAUAUGUGGUUAAUUCAAUAUAUGGUUUACUUGAUUGGAUUGAUGUGUGGUGGAUCUGAUGCAAAAUUGUUCACUCUUGUGCUAGUUUCAGGUUGAGAGCCCGUCACUGAGGAAGCGGACAGAUUGAUUUGCUAUGCUCUGCUCUUGCUAUGGUCAUUUUAGAUGAAAGGGUAAAUAAUAUUACAAUGAGAUAUUCUUUUGAAAUCGAGAUCUGUAUUCAGUCCAUUUGAGAAAAGCCAUUUCUGUGUUGUAGAACUUUAAUAGAGUUGUAUUUUUUUAAUCCAAUUACCUAGAUCUCCCAGCUUGAGUGUUGUGAAUAGUUUGCAAUAGUCGUAGCUUGUUCAUACAUGUCUUAUCUUUUUUCGAUAAGAAAACUAGCAGUAACAUUAUUCUAUUGUAUAUCUUAAGCAAUUGAUGAUAGACAUGGGUUAAAUAGU